UUGCAGGUUGUGCGAAGGGGUUUGUUGCUUGUCUUGUGCUACCGGAUUUAAACGUUUCCUGUGUGCAGCCUCUAUGCCUCUUCGAACUGUGCGGCAGGUGUGAAACAGAUGUGGUUCAGUAAAACCGUGAAAAGUCAUUUGAAAUGCGGGGUGCACCAAAAGUCACGUUCGUCAUUUGCGGAGACGGUUACCGCGCCGUUGUGGACAACCUCGAGAAGUGCUUCAUAUCGCUGAGCGUUGCCGAUAUGGCAAAAAAGGCCAUUAUCGGCAAAGUGAGCCGGGUAAGGACAUCAAGAAGAGCUGCUAUUACAGGGAUGUCCACCUUCUUUGAGAUGGAGAAAAAAACGACUCGCCGUGCAACACAAUCUUUUCUACCAGAGUGACUGUGAAAAGAACGUCAGAACUUGGAAGGUUUCAGUGAUAUCCUCCAGGUCAGGCACCUUCGGCAGAAACACUGCAGCUGCUGCUACCACCACCACGACCUAUAUUUCACUUCAGCCAUUGCUGCAUCACAACCAGUAUUACAACUUCUGAGCCGCUACCACAGUCCUUCCCAAUGAUGCCUCACCUUGACAGGGCUUCACAUGCUUCAAGAAGAAGCUGUCAGGCAAGUUCAUUUGAGAGGCAGAAGAAGGAGCAGUGGGCUUGGCUGCGGUCGUAAUGCAAGGAGGCUACAAAGCUCCUGUGGAGUGUCCUUCAGCUUCAGAACAAGAGCCUCAUAGUAGCCCCGCAUUGGAGUAUUUGUGCAUCAAGAGGACAAACAAGUGCCCCUGAGCGGGGCUCUGACAGCGAGAAAUUUGGAGGUUGUGGCUAGUGAUUAUUGCUUAAAGAGGUACUGACGCAAAUUUUUGUCUUGCAAUAUUAACAUUGUUGACAGCCUAUUAGUCAC
rnacentral:lncRNA from 1 species